CAAAACUCGUGAAACGCGCGUCAGUGUACCGCGUCUGGCGCGUUUGACUCGCGGAAAAAACCACGCGCGUGAGUUUUUGUGUUGCAUUUUGUGCAUACGCGUGUUUCGCCUCUACCGCUUGAGUUGGAAAAAUUUGAACUCCAGCGUCAAAUCGCGCCGCGUCAACCAAUCAGGAACCUGGUGACGUGGCUGUAACCAGGUCAAAGGGGCAGAUCCAGCCAAAGCCCUUCAUACUUCAUUCAAUAUGGAGGGAAGGCUAAUCAACGCUGCUUUGUGUACCGAGACAGGAAUAUAAAGGACCGAGCUUGGAGGAAGAAAUGUGAAGAGAUCGGGCAACCUGCUGAUUCUGCAGCAGAGCAUCACCUGUUGCUUCUCCUGGCUCCCCAGUCCCUGAGCUCCUGCUGCUGCACCCACAGAGAGGAGGACAGCUCAGAGGCAGAUGAGGGACGGGUCCCAGGACGGUCCAUCGGUGGUGGAGCUGGCCAUCCUGGAGUUCCUGAAGAGGCCACGCCAGUCUCCAAUGGAGCAUUUCCUCCUCAGCCUUGUUCCUGCUCUGGAGAGCAGCUGGGUCCUUUUAAUUCC